UUAAACAUGAGAGUUUGAUCCUGGCUCAGGAUGAACGCUGGCGGCGUGCCUAACACAUGCAAGUCGAACGAAGCGCUUUCACAGAUCCCCUUCGGGGGUGAAGAGGAAGUGACUUAGUGG
rnacentral:rRNA from 1 species